rnacentral:pre_miRNA from 1 species
CUUGUACUCCCUCCGUCCGAAAAUACUUGUCAUUGAAAUGGAUGUAUCUAGAUGUAUUUUAGUUCUAGACACAUCCAUUUUGAUGACAAGUAACUCCGGAUGGAGGGAGUACUUG